rnacentral:rRNA from 1 species
ACAAAGAUACCCUUCGGGGUGAUUUGUUGGACGCUAGCGGCGGAUGGGUGAGUAACACGUGGGCAAUCUGCCCUAAAGACUGGGAUACCACUUGGAAACAGGUGCUAAUACCGGAUAACAACAUGAAUCGCAUGAUUCAAGUUUGAAAGGCGGCGCAAGCUGUCACUUUAGGAUGAGCCCGCGGCGCAUUAGCUAGUUGGUGGGGUAAAGGCCUACCAAGGCAAUGAUGCGUAGCCGAGUUGAGAGACUGAUCGGCCACAUUGGGACUGAGACACGGCCCAAACUCCUACGGGAGGCAGCAGUAGGGAAUCUUCCACAAUGGACGCAAGUCUGAUGGAGCAACGCCGCGUGAGUGAAGAAGGUCUUCGGAUCGUAAAGCUCUGUUGUUGGUGAAGAAGGAUAGAGGCAGUAACUGGUCUUUAUUUGACGGUAAUCAACCAGAAAGUCACGGCUAACUACGUGCCAGCAGCCGCGGUAAUACGUAGGUGGCAAGCGUUGUCCGGAUUUAUUGGGCGUAAAGCGAGCGCAGGCGGAAUGAUAAGUCUGAUGUGAAAGCCCACGGCUCAACCGUGGAACUGCAUCGGAAACUGUCAUUCUUGAGUGCAGAAGAGGAGAGUGGAACUCCAUGUGUAGCGGUGGAAUGCGUAGAUAUAUGGAAGAACACCAGUGGCGAAGGCGGCUCUCUGGUCUGCAACUGACGCUGAGGCUCGAAAGCAUGGGUAGCGAACAGGAUUAGAUACCCUGGUAGUCCAUGCCGUAAACGAUGAGCGCUAGGUGUUGGGGACUUUCCGGUUCCUCAGUGCCGCAGCAAACGCAUUAAGCGCUCCGCCUGGGGAGUACGACCGCAAGGUUGAAACUCAAAGGAAUUGACGGGGGCCCGCACAAGCGGUGGA